AUGGCUCAGAUUGAACGCUGGCGGCAGGCCUAACACAUGCAAGUCGAGCGGUAGCACAAGAGAGCUUGCUCUCUGGGUGACGAGCGGCGGACGGGUGAGUAAUGUCUGGGAAACUGCCUGAUGGCGGGGGAUAACUAGUGGAAACGGUAGCUAAUACCGCAUAACGUCGCAAGACCAAAGUGGGGGACCUUCGGGCCUCACGCCAUCAGAUGUGCCCAGGUGGGAUUAGCUGGUAGGUGGGGUAACGGCUCACCUAGGCGACGAUCCCUAGCUGGUCUGAGAGGAUGACCAGCCACACUGGAACUGAGACACGGUCCAGACUCCUACGGGAGGCAGCAGUGGGGAAUAUUGCACAAUGGGCGCAAGCCUGAUGCAGCCAUGCCGCGUGUGUGAAGAAGGCCUUCGGGUUGUAAAGCACUUUCAGCGAGGAGGAAGGGUAAUGUGUUAAUAAGACAUUG
rnacentral:rRNA from 1 species